GCCACCCUUUAAAGAAAGCGUAAUAGCUCACUGAUCGAGUCGUCCUGCGCGGAAGAUGUAACGGGGCUAAGCUAUAUACCGAAGCUGCGGAUGCGUGCUUUGCACGCAUGGUAGGAGAGCGUUCCGUAAGCCUGCGAAGGUGCGUUGAAAAGCGUGCUGGAGGUAUCGGAAGUGCGAAUGCUGACAUGAGUAGCGAUAAAGGGGGUGAAAGGCCCCCUCGCCGUAAGCCCAAGGUUUCCUACGCAACGUUCAUCGGCGUAGGGUGAGUCGGCCCCUAAGGCGAGGCAGAAAUGCGUAGCUGAUGGGAAGCAGGUCAAUAUUCCUGCACCAUUGUUAGAUGCGAUGGGGGGACGGAUCGCGGAAGGUUGUCCGGGUGUUGGAAGUCCCGGUCGCUGCAUUGGAGAAGGCGCUUAGGCAAAUCCGGGCGCAGGAUUCAAGGGUGUGGCGCGAGCUCCUUAGGGAGCGAAGCAAUUGGAAGUGGUUCCAAGAAAAGCCUCUAAGCUUCAGUCUAACGAUGACCGUACCGCAAACCGACACAGGUGGGCGAGAUGAGUAUUCUAAGGCGCUUGAGAGAACUCGGGAGAAGGAACUCGGCAAAUUGGUACCGUAACUUCGGGAUAAGGUACGCCCUUGUAGCUUGAUGCGCCUGCGCGCAGAGGGUGAAGGGGUUGCAAUAAACUGGUGGCUGCGACUGUUUAAUAAAAACACAGCACUCUGCAAACACGAAAGUGGACGUAUAGGGUGUGACGCCUGCCC
rnacentral:rRNA from 1 species